CUGUCAGAGUUCCGGUGUGAGAGCGUGUGCAUGAGAGUGUGAGUGCGAGUGUUGCAUCUUCUCUCAGCGAGGAUCUUCGUGAGGAGUCUGUGGAGCCAGCGCAGGUGAAGCUGAUCUGCCUCAUCAGCGUGCUGGAAUAUAGGAGCGGCAGAAUCCUUCAGUCUUCGCUAGAUGGUUAACGCAUACCGGAAUUUUUUGUCUUCACGUUUCAAGAACUUGCCGAGAAUACCUGCCUGCCUGCUCCACCGUUUCCACCGACCCCAUCUCGCUCCUACCACCCGCGAUCCCGCCUUGCACUCGCCCUCGGCACCGGAGCACUCCCUCGCGCCGGACCCUGGCACCUCACCCCCACGCUCUGGAAGAUCCACGCCAAAAUGUAAGAAAGUUCCUGAUUCCUCCUCUACACUCUCUCACUCCGAGCCCAUUAUAAUUCAGCUCUCGUUUCAGGCCACCUGGUCGGGCGACCCUCGCCCUCCUGCUGAAGUCCAGAGAACUGAAUAUAAUUUGUCCUGUUGUAAAUAAAUCACUUACCUUUUCCAUCCA